rnacentral:rRNA from 1 species
GUCGUGGCUCGGAGGACAUUAAUGAAUUUUGAAGGGGUUGUAGCUGGCCCGCGAGGGCAUGUGCACGCCCCGUUCAAUCCAUUCUACCCCUGUGCACCACGCUGUAGGGACGGAGGGCCGUGAGGUCUUUUGUCUCUAUGUCAUUCACAAACCCUGUAGUCUCAGAAUGUAAACGCGUAUAACGCAUCUUAUACAACUUUCAGCAACGGAUCUCUUGGCUCUCGCAUCGAUGAAGAACGCAGCGAAAUGCGAUAAGUAAUGUGAAUUGCAGAAUUCAGUGAAUCAUCGAAUCUUUGAACGCACCUUGCGCUCCUCGGUAUUCCGAGGAGCAUGCCUGUUUGAGUGUCAUGGAACCAUCAACCUCUUACGCUUUUGCGUGACGGGCUUGGACUUGGAGGGUUGUGCCGGCGCGAGUCGGCUCCUCUGGAAUUUAUUAGCUGGACCAUGAGUCUGGUUGCACGGUGUGAUAAUUAUCUGCAUCGUCUGCCUCUCUGCGGAUCAGCUUCGAACCGUCUCCCCUCGGAGACAAUUCAUUUGACCUCUGGCCUCAAAUCAGGUAGGACUACCCGCUGAACUUAAGCAAUCAAAAACGGGGAAGAAAA